rnacentral:rRNA from 1 species
GAUUGAACGCUGGCGGCAGGCCUAACACAUGCAAGUCGAACGGUAACAGGAAGAGCUUGCUUCUUUGCUGACGAGUGGCGGACGGGUGAGUAAUGUCUGGGAAACUGCCUGAUGGAGGGGGAUAACUACUGGAAACGGUAGCUAAUACCGCAUAACGUCGCAAGACCAAAGAGGGGGACCUUCGGGCCUCUUGCCAUCGGAUGUGCCCAGAUGGGAUUAGCUGUAGGUGGGGUAACGGCUCACCUAGGCGACGAUCCCUAGCUGGUCUGAGAGGAUGACCAGCCACACUGGAACUGAGACACGGUCCAGACUCCUACGGGAGGCAGCAGUGGGGAAUAUUGCACAAUGGGCGCAAGCCUGAUGCAGCCAUGCCGCGUGUAUGAAGAAGGCCUUCGGGUUGUAAAGUACUUUCAGCGGGGAGGAAGGGAGUAAAGUUAAUACCUUUGCUCAUUGACGUUACCCGCAGAAGAAGCACCGGCUAACUCCGUGCCAGCAGCCGCGGUAAUACGGAGGGUGCAAGCGUUAAUCGGAAUUACUGGGCGUAAAGCGCACGCAGGCGGUUUGUUAAGUCAGAUGUGAAAUCCCCGGGCUCAACCUGGGAACUGCAUCUGAUACUGGCAAGCUUGAGUCUCGUAGAGGGGGGUAGAAUUCCAGGUGUAGCGGUGAAAUGCGUAGAGAUCUGGAGGAAUACCGGUGGCGAAGGCGGCCCCCUGACGAAGAC